rnacentral:rRNA from 1 species
GAUGAACGCUGGCGGCGUGCCUAAUACAUGCAAGUCGAGCGAACGGACGAGAAGCUUGCUUCUCUGAUGUUAGCGGCGGACGGGUGAGUAACACGUGGAUAACCUACCUAUAAGACUGGGAUAACCUCGGGAAACCGGAGCUAAUACCGGAUAAUAUUUUGAACCGCAUGGUUCAAAAGUGAAAGACGGUCUUGCUGUCACUUAUAGAUGGAUCCGCGCUGCAUUAGCUAGUUGGUAAGGUAACGGCUUACCAAGGCAACGAUGCAUAGCCGACCUGAGAGGGUGAUCGGCCACACUGGAACUGAGACACGGUCCAGACUCCUACGGGAGGCAGCAGUAGGGAAUCUUCCGCAAUGGGCGAAAGCCUGACGGAGCAACGCCGCGUGAGUGAUGAAGGUCUUCGGAUAGUAAAACUCUGUUAUUAGGGAAGAACAUAUGUGUAAGUAACUGUGCACAUCUUGACGGUACCUAAUCAGAAAGCCACGGCUAACUACGUG